GACAGAGGUGCCGAGCGUUAGGCGGAAUCACUGGGCUUAAAGCGUGUGUAGGCGGGCGGGCAAGUACCUUGUGAAAUCCCACGGCUCAACCGUGGAACGGCUGGGUAUACUGCCUGUCUUGAGCCAACUAGGGGCGAGCGGAACAGACGGUGGAGCGGUGAAAUGCGUAGAUAUCGUCUGGAACGCCGAAGGUGGAAACAGCUCGCUGGGGUUGUGCUGACGCUGAGACACGAAAGCCAGGGGAGCGAACGGG
rnacentral:rRNA from 1 species